UUGAGUAUAGAGCAGCAGUGUUAACAAGAUCACUAUCAUUUUUGCAGCAUAAUAAUGUGCAUUUAAAUUUAGUGUCUGUUUUUCAGAGUAUCAUUGAAGUUAUUAUCUUCCCUGUCAUGUUAUGGAUUUUUUGAAUAAUUUGCACUUGAGCAUUUAAGGAGUUAAGCAAUCAACUUUACAUAGAAAAAUACGCAUGGAGAAAAUCCAGGAAUCUGAGGUGCAGAGGGACUUGGGAUUCCUUGUGCAGAACACCCUGAAGGUUAACUUGCAGGUUGAGUUGGUGAUCCCGUUCCACGACACCACUUAUUUCCAUACAGAUCCAGAAUAGAUUCUCAUGAAGAUGAUCAUUGUGGAAAAUCUGCUUUUAGCAGCUUAACUGAAGAUAAGUGCGGGCUAAAUAUGAAAAGAGAGUAGAGGUUGAAUGGAAAAUGUGGGCAUUGGGAAUAAGGCCUAAUAAUUACUAUUGGGAAUAAGAUCUGGUCGAGAGAAAGAGAGUCAUACAGCACAGAAACAGGCCCUUUGGCCCAUCUUGUCCAUGUUGACUGUGUUGCACAAGGAACUAAUUCCAUCUGCCUGCAUUUGGAUAAAGGCCCUCUAAACUUCUCCCAUUUGUGUCUUUAUCCAGAUGGCUUUUAAAUGUUGCUAACGUACCCAUCUCAACCAUUAUUUCUGGUGGCUGAUUCCAAAUAUG